UACGGAGGGUGCGAGCGUUAUCCGGAAUUACUGGGUUUAAAGGGUGCGCAGGCGGCCGUAUGUGUGAGGCGUGAAAGCCCGGGGCUUAACCCCGGAAUUGCACCUCAAACUAUACGGCUAGAGCAUUGGAGAGGGUAGCAGAAUUCAUGGUGUAGCAGUGAAAUGCGUAGAUAUCAUGAGGAAUACCAGAGGCGAAGGCGGCUACCUGGACAAUUGCUGACGCUCAGGCACGAAAGCGUGGGGAGCAAAAGGG
rnacentral:rRNA from 1 species